UUCUCUCUGUGUUCAGUCGAAAGGCAGAAAGAGAAAAGAAUGUAAGAAAAAGCUUUAGGUGUAGAGGCACAACACACAGAGUUCAGUCACUAACAGCACUAACAGCAUGCACCAAAGGGGCUCAAGAAGUCGAGAGGAGGACAGAACACCAAAACCAAGCUUUAUAAAAAGGCAGAUUCCGUGGGGUACUGAAUACUCAAGAGUUUUGUUCAACUAUGCGUUCAGAUUUACCUGUCCCUGGCUAAAAACUGACUUCAGUAUUAUUUCUUAAUGGGAUUUCUUUGAACUUUCUUCUUCAGCAGAUUGGAAAAGUAAAAAUAAAUGUCAUUUUUACAGGCAAAAAGCUAUGCGGGACGAGGUUCCCUGCCUCUGGAAGAAGCUCUGGAGAGCCACCAGCCCCGGCCUAAUGAGUGAGCGCGAGAGAAGCCGGGAACUGCUGCAGGGUGACAACUUCACUUCCAGGGGAGCCCAUUUUGAUCUGUCUGCCACGACUCUCCAGCGUCUCGGACAUUCUGUGCUGGAGCACAGGGCUAGACCUGGUGUGACCCUUCAGGUACUGGAUGGGGCUGCUGCUGCUGCUGGACCAGGCCUCGUGCUCAUGGAGCAGGCUAAACUCCCCACUGCUGUGGCUCUGGGGCCUGCUCUGGCUGUUCACUGCACCUGCUUUGGGGAAUAUGGCAUUAGGUAUUUCCAUUAGAAAUAUACAGGAAAGCUGUAAACCUGUAUAACCUUUUCAAAUCUAGAAUGUCACCAGAUUCACUUAACACUCAUUCUAUUUAAAAUACUAAAGAAAAAAAAAAAUCCCUCUCCUGACUUACCUUUUGCAGCUCUUCUAACAUGACACAUUUUUUUU